UUUCCAGGAUCCAGGGAUUCAACAGUGAACACCUUCAGUCUUCACAUGGAGGCCGUGAUAGGAAAGCCUUGACCUUCAGUGCUGGACAGCAGAAGAGGAGACAAUGCGGAUAUAUGCAGUGGGCAGGAAAUGAGGAAAAACCUGUGCAUUCAGCUAGAGGCAAAGGUUGGCAUACAUGUCAAGAGAAUGUUCUCCAGCUGGGGCCUGCAGUACAGAGAAUUGUAUAUACCAGAGAGCCCAUGGGACUCUAGGCAGAUUAUUAUGGUAAUAUUGGAGGCUGCUGUCCUCUCCCUCCCACAGCUGGGCCGCCUCUCUCAUUAAAUCAGCGCUUCCCUAAGCACACUUUGGUGACCCAUGAAGUGACUUGCCACCAGGCCUUACCCUUGGAGGACGGAGGUAAAGGAUGAAGAAACGCUAAAAGUGGCAUGGCUGUAUGGUGUUAAAGAAACAGAAUUUGAGUAGAGAAGAGAACAAUUUCCCUUGAGAAAAGGCAUUCAAGAACUUGGGAGAGUUAGUAAAGAUUAACCAGCAUGUAAAAAAAAU